rnacentral:rRNA from 1 species
GGAAGGGAUAAACGCUGAAGGCAUCUAAGCGUGAAGCCCCCCUCAAGAUGAGAUAUCCAUACUCGAAAGAGUGAGAGACCCCUUAGAGACGAUGAGGUAGAUAGGGCAGGGAUGGAAGCACAGCGAUGUGUGGAGUUGACUGCUACUAAUCGGUCGAAAGCUUGACCUUA